rnacentral:rRNA from 1 species
CCUACGGGAGGCAGCAGUGAGGAAUAUUGGUCAAUGGACGAGAGUCUGAACCAGCCAAGCCGCGUGAGGGAUGACGGCCCUCUGGAUUGUAAACUUCUUUUAUAUGGGAAUAAAAUGUGGCACGUGUGGGCGUAUGUCUGUACCACAUGAAUAAGGAUCGGCUAACUCCGUGCCAGCAGCCGCGGUAAUACGGAGGAUCGGAGCGUUAUCCGGAUUUAUUGGGUUUAAAGGGUGCGUAGGUGGAUUUUUAAGUCCGUUGUGAAAGUUUGCGGCCCAAACGGAAGAUUGCGGUUGAAACUGGCAGUCUUGAGUACAGUAGAGGUGGGCGGAAUUCGUGGUGUAGCGGUGAAAUGCUUAGAUAUCACGAAGAACUCCGGUUGCGAAGGCAGCUCACUGGACUGCAACUGACACUGAGGCACGAAAGUGUGGGUAUCAAACAGGAUUAGAUACCCGUGUAGUC